rnacentral:lncRNA from 1 species
UGUGUCUGUCUGUGGGAGUGUGUUUGUGUGUGCGCGUGUGCGCGUGAAGGGUAGAAAGCCAGUCAGUCAGUGAGAAGCAAAGUCAGAAAAAAGAAGGCUCUACUGCUGGCACUCUUUUGGAAGACUCUAGAGGUUCCUGUGGUCCUCUCAUUAGCCAUACUGCAGCCAGGGAAAUGACAGCCACAGAAGUACUGAAGAUUGGUUCAUUUUCCUGA